GCUCGGCUAGCUCAGUUGGUAGAGCAUGAGACUCUUGAUCUCAGGGUCAUGGGUUCAAGCCCCAUGUUGGACG
rnacentral:tRNA from 2 species